UUGCUUUGGCAGCACAUAUACUAAACUUGGAAUGAUACAGAGAAGAUUAGCAAGGCCCCUGUGCAAGGAUGACACGCAAAUUCAUGAAGCGUUCCAUAUUUUG
ensembl:snRNA U6 U6 spliceosomal RNA